GCAAGACCUGUCUCUAAAACCAACAACUAAAACAAAACAAAAAACAGACAAACAAACAAAAACAGAAAAAAAGAGUUUGAACUUGAUUCUGAAAAUAUUGAAGAGGCUUUUGAGGAAACAUAAGAGUAUGCUGGAGAAAGUAGAAGAGACCGUUAAAAAUUAUUGCAGUAAGCUAGAACUAAGAUGAUGAGAGGCUUGACUCACGAUGACUUUGGAAAAAAAGAGGGUCAAAUAAAAUGUUAAGAAAAAAAUUGAAAGAAUAUAAAAGGUAUAAUAUCAGACAGUGCUUCAUAUAGAUAAUAUAUAAUAUUUUAACGUUGUCUAAGGUUUCAAGGCCCUAUAGAUGUUUAAGAGAAGUGAUAAGCCAAAGGUAAAAACUGAAUAGGAAAAGGAUACAAUUUUUUUGAAGUUAGUUUCAUUUUCAAAUGGAAAUGUCUAGUAUGGAAUUGAAGUUUGAUUGAGAGGUCAAGAGUAUGACUAUAGGUUGGAAAGUCCUCUUAUGAAUGCUACUUAAAACUUUGAAGAGGAGCAUGCUAGAAGAUGAGCUUUCCUAAGGAUGUGCUGUAGAGAUAAUAUGUGAAGACUGUGUUCAGAGCCUUAGAGUUAUCUGACACAGAUACAAUUUAUUUGGGCAAAUUGAGGAAUUAUAGCUCAACAUGCUAGCGUAAUGAAGAGAACUGCAGGAAAAGACAUUGAGGGCAUUUUUAAUUUUUUUAUAAAUAUUUGUCAUUUUGAAGAGAUGGAUUUGCUAGAUGCUCUAACUGCCGUUUAAAUAAUUUAAGUAGCGAUGUCUGGUACAUGGCCUCAUGGUCUGUUCUGCACAGUAUAAUACGGUAGCCAUUAACCCUGUGGAUCAGUUGAGCACUUGAAAUGUGCCUUUAUGACUGAGGAAUUGAAAAUUUUAUUUAAUUUUAAUUAUUGUAAAUUUAAAAAUUGAUGAUGAAUUCUGUUAGGAAACUUAUGUGUGUUUGGAACAGCUUGAUUAUAUGAAUCUGCUUUUACAACUGUAAGUUUUACAAAAUCUAAAUACACAUCAAGUAUUUCUAAUGAAAAUUUAGCCUCCAAGUAGAGAUCCGCUCCAAGUAUAUUCACCAGAUUUCAAAGAAAUACCAAAAGUUUUUGGGACACAAACAGUCCAUAGUGAUCACCAUGUUAUAUUAAGUUCUAUUUAAGGCGCUUUGAGUGUAUAAAGAAUAGCUACAGUCUUACUUUUAAGGAAUUCCCAGGCUGAUAAACUAGAAAAGGUCUUAGCUAUUUCUAAUAGGAAACCUAAAAUAGAUGUAUUUUUAGUUUAAUAAAAUUUAAUUUUAAAUUAGAAGAAUGAAAUUGAAUGAAAGGUGUAAUAGUACAGACAACACGCUGUUUUGAAUAUAAGAAAUACUGUUGGCAGAUAAUUUUUUUUUCUUUUUUAUUAUUCUUCAAGUUCUGUGAUACAUGUGCUGAAUGUGCAGGUUUGUUACAUAGUAUACAUGUGCCAUUGUGGUUUACUGCACCCGUCAACCUAUCAUCUGGGUUUUAAGCCCUGUACGCAUUAGGUAUUUCUCCUAAUGCUGUCCCUCCCCCCUUUAUGCCCUGCCC